AACCUCCGCAAUGUGAGAAAUCGCGACGAGGGGAUCCCAAGUGCCAUUCUUAACGGGAUGGCUUUUCAUUAGUGUAAAGAGCUUUUGGAAUAAGGGCUGGGCAAGACCGGUGCCAGCCGCCGCGGUAACACCGGCAGCUCUAGUGGUAGCAGUUUUUAUUGGGCCUAAAGCGUCCGUAGCCGGUUUGAUAAGUCACUGGUGAAAUCCUGUAGCUUAACUGUGGGAAUUGCUGGUGAUACUGUUGAACUUGAGGUCGGGAGAGGUUAGCGGUACUCCCAGGGUAGAGGUGAAAUUCUGUAAUCCUGGGAGGACCACCUGUGGCGAAGGCGGCUAACUGGAACGAACCUGACGGUGAGGGACGAAAGCUAGGGGCGCGAACCGGAUUAGAUACCCGGGUAGUCCUAGCCGUAACCGAUGCGGACUUGGUGUUGGGAUGGCUUUGAGCCGCUCCGGUGCCGAAGGGAGCUGUUAAGUCCGCCGCCUGGGAAGUACGGUCGCAAGACUGAAACUUAAAGGAAUU
rnacentral:rRNA from 1 species